rnacentral:lncRNA from 10 species
GCAAACGGGGCCGGAAAGCGUGGCAGCGCAGGCGCAAGCGCAGAGAGCGGAGGCGGUGGUGGUGGCGGCCGCUGGCCAGUUCCUUCAGUGAAUCUACAGACCUAUUUUCUCAGGAGCUCAGCCUGGCCUUACUUCAGUGAUAAAAGGAGGAAAGGCUGGCUACAGCAAACAUCAUUCAAGAUGUCCAGCAAAGGGAGCAGCACAGAUGGCAGAACAGACUUAGCUAAUG